GAACUGAAACAUCUAAGUACCCCGAGGAAAAGAAAUCAACCGAGAUUCCCCCAGUAGCGGCGAGCGAACGGGGAGCAGCCCAGAGCCUGAAUCAGUGUGUGUGUUAGUGGAAGCGUCUGGAAAGGCGUGCGAUACAGGGUGACAGCCCCGUACACAAAAAUGCACAUGCUGUGAGCUCGAUGAGUAGGGCGGGACACGUGGUAUCCUGUCUGAAUAUGGGGGGACCAUCCUCCAAGGCUAAAUACUCCUGACUGACCGAUAGUGAACCAGUACCGUGAGGGAAAGGCGAAAAGAACCCCGGCGAGGGGAGUGAAAAAGAACCUGAAACCGUGUACGUACAAGCAGUGGGAGCACGCUUAGGCGUGUGACUGCGUACCUUUUGUAUAAUGGGUCAGCGACUUAUAUUCUGUAGCAAGGUUAACCGAAUAGGGGAGCCGAAGGGAAACCGAGUCUUAACUGGGCGUUAAGUUGCAGGGUAUAGACCCGAAA
rnacentral:rRNA from 1 species